GGUUAGUUGAGAGAGAGUCACAUAAAGCGAAAAAUAAAGAAAUAAGACGAUUUAUGGAACAUUAUUCAAGAAAAUGUUUAAGAUUAAAAACAAAGAUUUUUUCAAACGAUUAUUAUUAAGCUCAGAUCCUAUAUUAAGUAUUAUACAUUAUGAAAAAAAUAAAAAGCUGAUAUUGGGGAUGGGAGCGGCUACUGUUGUAGGUGAGAAGUUGAGAAGGUGAAUACAUAAGGUUAUUUAAUCUAUAUCUAUAAGCAAAGAUAAACCAUUGCUGACGAAAGACGAUUACGAGUGCAGUUCGGUAAUAUAUAAAAUGAAGUGGAGUAAUUUUUUUUGUGAUUUUCGUUUAAAUUUAAUUUCAAAACGCUUAUUAAAAAAAAAAGUCGUCCGAUGAUUUUGAAAAUUUUACCACGUCUAGGUAAGUCCAAUAUAAGUAUUAUUACCAGGUUUCAAGUCUCUACAUGUAUUUACAACCGAAUUAAAGCAUAAAAACUACCAAAAAUUAAAAUUCCUUUAAAGCUGAAUAGUGGUUUAAAAGUGUUGGCGAUGAUACCAAAAAAAUAAAUAAAUCAAAAAGGCAAUAAAAAAGAUGUUUUGUGAUUAAAUUAUUUUUGCUAGUAGAAAACGUUGUCGAGUGUUUUUAUAUGUAAUAACACGAAUAUAGGGGUGCAAAAUAAAUGAAUGUAUACCCACUAAUCACUUAGAUUUUUUAUUAUAGCUUACGACGGUAAGAAACAAUUAACAUAAGAUAUACACUAUGAAGGGUAACAAUAAUAUACUUGCCUAUCCUGAACGGAGUACCCUCAGCAACAAUGUUGAGUUUGAAUACAGGUAUAAUUAUAUUUAUUUAUUAUGUUGAUGAAAAUAGGUAGUAAGAAUGAUAAAAUAAACACUUGAUUAAAUUAAAAAUGAUGAUAUCGGAAUGUUAGAAGCCGAAACAACACGCACUCGCGGAAAGACGAAAAAGAUGACGAGUCGCCAAGGCAGGAUCCGGUGGCCUAAUAAGUCGAGGAGUCUUUUAUGAGAAAGAAAGGGGAAAAGAGUAGAGUGCUGUUGUCCGGUUCUCAUCAUCAUGUCUUAUUGUUAUGUUGAAAUAUUCAACUGUUAUACAUACUAUUUUGUAUUAAUCUAAAUUGACUUAUAAACUGAUAAAAUAAAGUGGUGUCCACUAUAAUAAAAUGUAGUGUAGAUAAUAUUAAUGCUAUAUAAUAUUAUAUUAUGAUAUAACUAGUUG